GUAAUGUCCCAUGCGAGGAGUGAGAGUGCUGCGGCACGUGGAAAUAGAGUCCGUACUCUGUGAGAGAUGCUGGGAGAGGAAACUGGGAGCCCGGGAGAACUAAAAUUCCCAAUUAAAGUGAAUUUAAAUCUGAGCUGUUCUUAGACCCAGAAUUUCUUGCCUGAAGGAGGAGUCAGGUCCCCACAAGAAAAGACCCUGCAACUGUAUAAAAAAAGAAUCUGAAAAGAUCGUGACUCCUUUAGUCCUUUCCCAAAGAGACCUGUGGAAAUUUCCUCAGGAGCACCCACAACAGAAUAGACAUUAAACAACUGCAUAAACAAAAUGACUCAGCCAGUUGAUGUCAGUCAGCCUGUGUCAACAGCCACCCUAAUGCUGGCACAAAGGGCACUUGAACAGAAUAGCCUGAUGGCAGAGAUGAAGUGUGCAUGGCUCCAGCAGCAUGGACUUCUCUCAUUAAGGCUGAUCUAGCUACUGUUGCUGCCCCAUGUCUAACUUGCCAGCAACAGAGACCAAAGUGGAGCCCCAGAAUCAGCACCAUUUCUCAAAGAGACCAGCUAGUCACUUGGUGGAAGAGAGACCAAGCAGAAUCCCAGAAGAGUUGAUCUCAAAGCUUAUUUUAUGAAGAAAAUUGACCUGAGUGACACAAAGUGUUGGAUUGUAGUAGAUGUCAUGUUUUGCUGCCUAGAUCUGCAUCCAGGGAUGCACCCUCGUUUCCUCAGCUUCUUCAUUUCCUCAGCUUCUGGGAGGGUUGGCAGCUGCCAUUCCCACCUGAGUCCUUUUCUAGGACUUGCCCUUGCCUGAAGAGAGCUGUGUUGCCCAACAUGAUGCCUCCUCCAAGGUACAAUCCACACCCAGUGAUUAAUAAACAGGGGUUACAAGCCCCAGUUUGGGACAACUUUACCAAGCCAACCCAGCCUCAAGGCUCUCUGCAGGAACAAGUGAAGCCAUAGUUGUGACUACAUCACAGUUCAAUUUCUCCUCUGCCCAAGCCUCCUUCCUUCAUUCCUCCACAGAUGUUGAUCCUGAGACUCCUUUCCAGUAAACUUCCUCCAUGCAAUCUUCAUCUCAGAGUCUGUUUCCUGGGUAAACUAACCUGCAACUGAUACAAAUGCCUGUUCUGUGAGAUAAAACACUAAAAGUGCAAUGCGAGUGGUAUAAAUAUUCUGCUACAGGAAUACAAAGUCAAAUAUCAUUUUUGGCUUAGGUAGUCAGAGAAUGGAGAUAUUCUGAGUUGGACUUCUGAGAUAGUGGGAUUUGAUAGGUGAAGUGGAGAUGAGAUGGCAUAAGACUAACAUAGGCAGAAUUUUGCUAAAUGAAUUGGAGAUGAAACAUCAUAAGUGCAGGUGCACAAGUAGAAAAGUAAAAUCAGAGCUCAAGGAAGGGGAAGUGAUCCAGCUGGGCAGAAACAUGGGGCCUAUAUAGAGAUAUACCAGGAAAUAAAGCUAGGACAAAUGGCAGGGUAGGACCUGAUUGUUGAGGGUCUUAAAUGCUGGGGUCAAGAUUAUGGCCUUUACUUGCAAGUUGGUUGGGCAUGAUUCUGGGAGUUUUAACAAAAGAUGUGGCAAACUCAAAGCUUCCUUUUCAUGUAAAGUAUAGAGAAGUGGAGGUUCAUAUCAUUAAAUCACUGUAAUUUCAGUGUGAACUUCCUAACAUUUUGAGCUAACCAUGAGAUAGGACAACUUAUCAAGCAAUGAGCUCUCCAUUAUCUAAACAGAAGCUAAAUUUCAAGUCCAUGUAGAGGAAAUCUUGUGUUGACUAGAAUAUAAGGUGUUUGGAGGGACUUUUCUUCUUUUUUACUGAUAUUUACUAACUUGGAUAUUUUGCUAAGUGCUUUACAGGUAUUCUUAUUUAAUCCUCACAAGGCAGUAUGGUAGAUAAUCCAUUAUAUCGAAAAUAAUGGGCCCAGCAUGGUGGCUCACGUCUGUAAUCCCAGCACUUUGGGAGGCCGAGGCGGGUGGAUCACCUGAGAUCGGGAGUUCAAGACCAGCCUGACCAACAUGGUGAAACCCUGUGUUUACUAAAAAUACAAAAAUAAGCUUGGUGUAGUAGCUCACACCUGUAGUCCCAGGUAUUUGGGAGGCUAAAGCAUGAGAAUCACUUGAAGCGGAAGUUACAGUGAGCCAAAAUCAUACCACUGGACUCCAGCCUGGGCAAUAGAAUAUGACUAG